rnacentral:rRNA from 1 species
CAGUCGUCGGAAAUCACUGCCACAGUGGGCGUCGGCGGAAACUGUGUGGCUGGACGAAGCUCAGAGGGUACGUCCGGGGUAGGAGUGAAAUCCGUAAUCCCGGACGGACCACCGAUGGCGAAAGCACUCUGAGAAGACGGCUUCGACAGUGAGGGACGAAAGCUAGGGUCUCAAACCGGAUUAGAUACCCGGGUAGUCCUAGCUGUAAACGAUGCUCGUUAGGUGUGGCACCCACUACGAGUGGGUGCUGUGCCGCAGGGAAGCCGCUAAACGAGCCGCCUGGGAAGUACGUCCGCAAGGAUGAAACUUAAAGGAAUUGGCGGGGGAGCACUACAACCGGAGGAGCCUGCGGUUUAAUUGGACUCAACGCCGGAAAUCUCACCAGCCCCGACAUCAGUAAUGACGGUCAUGUUGACGACAUCUGCCCGAGCUGAUGAGAGGAGGUGCAUGGCCGCCGUCAGCUCGUACCGUGAGGCAUCCUGUUAAGUCAGGUAACGAGCGAGAUCCACAUCCCUAAUUGCCAGCACCAUCGCCAGAUGGGUGGGUACAUUAGGGAGACUGCCGCUGCUAAAGCGGAGGAAGGAAUGGGCAACGGUAGGUCAGUAUGCCCCGAAUGGGCUGGGCAACACGCGGGCUACAAUGGGCAGGACAAUGGGUUCCAACACCGAGAGGUGGAGGUAAUCUCAGAAACCUGCUCGUAGUUCGGAUUGCGGACUGAAACUCGUCCGCAUGAAGCUGGAUUCGGUAGUAAUCGCGUGUCAGCAGCGCGCGGUGAAUACGUCCCUGCUCCUUGCACACACCGCCCGUCAAAGCACCCGAGUGAGGUCCGGAUGAGGCCACAUUCGUGGUCGA